GCCUGGGUGGCUCAGUCGGUUGGGCGUCUGACUUCGGCUCAGGUCACGAUCUCACGGUCCGUGAGUCCGUGAGUUCAAGCCCCGCGUCGGGCU
rfam:Felis catus isolate Cinnamon breed Abyssinian chromosome B4, whole genome shotgun sequence.